UAUUUUGGACAUUAUUUUCUGUAUAGGCAUCUACCUCAGUCUUUUUGACAUUUGCAUAGUGUAAUUUUUUGUUAUAAUGUGUUUCAAACUUAAACAAAAUCAGUAGUAAGUUAUUUAAAAUGUACCGGGUGAAUAAGGAAAUCUAGGCAGACUGAUAGCCCCAAUAAAGCCAAAGCUUGGUGUGACUGUAACCUGGCCUCUUACAGUUACUGAUCCAUGUGUGGUCAGCUAGCUGAAGCCAUGACAGACAGGAAGAACAAUUUGGGAACAGUAAUGGGCCUGCCCUGCUCUGGGAAUAGGCUGAGUCUGGGGGACAUUGCAGGGCGCUUCUGUCUAGGAGCAAAGAAUAUUCCUUGGGCCUAUUCCUUGUGAAUAUUCCUUGUGUCUACAUGUCAUCAGCAAACUUGUGGUCACAAAGAUGGCGCCUAGGGAAGGCAAACAGUAUUCCAGUCUCUUGGAGAGGACAUACCUGAGGGAGCAUCAGGACUUUGGUGUCUGGCUUGGGUUUCAACUUGGCCAUCUCUAAGCAGAACAGGCUGUGACCUCUUGCUAAACAUCAGCAAUUGUUGGAGUAGAAAUUGACCCCUUUCACCAACUGUGUUUUUAAGAAAAUUCUGUUGGGAAUGGUUGAGUAAUACGGGGGGAAAUGGGCUUUGGAGUCAAGACUUAAGUUGUUUGACCCCAAAUGACUUGGCUCCGUUGGCCCGUGUAUUCCACCUAUAAAAUGAGGCUAAUAAAACCUCAUGCAAAGAUUAUAAAGAUUGUGCAUGAAAAGCUCACUACUGCAUCAGCAUGUGGUAGGUACUCAGUCUCAGCCAUUAUUACCCAAAAAUGGUUUCAUGAGCAUAGGUUCUACAACAUUCCUGGAUUUCCUACAUUAUUCUAUUCAAUAAAGGCAUGAUUUUAUUUUUAGUCUAAAAUCACGUGACC